GACGAACGCUGGCGGCGCGCCUAACACAUGCAAGUCGAACGGAGUCACGAGGCGCUUGCUUUUCUUGACUUAGUGGCGAACGGGUGAGUAACGCGUGAGCAACCUGCCCUGGAGUGGGGGACAACAGUUGGAAACGACUGCUAAUACCGCAUAAGCCCACGGAUCCGCAUGGAUCUGCGGGAAAAGGAUUUAUUCGCUUCAGGAUGGACUCGCGUCCAAUUAGCUAGUUGGUGAGGUAACGGCCCACCAAGGCGACGAUUGGUAGCCGGACUGAGAGGUUGAACGGCCACAUUGGGACUGAGACACGGCCCAGACUCCUACGGGAGGCAGCAGUGGGGGAUAUUGCACAAUGGGGGAAACCCUGAUGCAGCGACGCCGCGUGGAGGAAGAAGGUUUUCGGAUUGUAAACUCCUGUCGUUAGGGACGAUAAUGACGGUACCUAACAAGAAAGCACCGGCUAACUACGUG
rnacentral:rRNA from 1 species